UGAGGAAUAUUGGUCAAUGGGCGAGAGCCUGAACCACCCCAGUAGCGUGCAGGAUGUCGUCCCUAUUGGUUGUAAACUUCUUUUUUAUGGGAAUAAAGUGAGGGACGUGUCCCUUAUUGCAUUUACCAUACGAAUAAGGACCGGCUAAUUCCUUUCCAGCAGCCGCGGUAAUACGGCAGGUCCAGGCGUUAUCCGGAUUUAUUGGGUUUAAAGGGAGUGUAGGCGGUUGGUUAAGCGUGUUGUGAAAUGUAGAUGCUCAACAUCUGACUUGCAGCGCGAACUGGCUGACUUGAGUACACACAACGUAGGCGGAAUUCAUGGUGUAGCGGUGAAAUGCUUAGAUAUCAUGAAGAACUCCGAUUGCGAAGGCAGCUUACGGGAGUGUUACUGACGCUUAAGCUCGAAGGUGCGGGUAGCGAACAGG
rnacentral:rRNA from 1 species